AGAGUUUGAUCCUGGCUCAGAUUGAACGCUGGCGGCAUGCCUUACACAUGCAAGUCGAACGGCAGCGCGGGUGCUUGCACCUGGCGGCGAGUGGCGAACGGGUGAGUAAUAUAUCGGAACGUGCCCUAGAGUGGGGGAUAACGUAGCGAAAGUUACGCUAAUACCGCAUACGAUCUACGGAUGAAAGUGGGGGAUCGCAAGACCUCAUGCUCCUGGAGCGGCCGAUAUCUGAUUAGCUAGUUGGUGGGGUAAAAGCCUACCAAGGCGACGAUCAGUAGCUGGUCUGAGAGGACGACCAGCCACACUGGGACUGAGACACGGCCCAGACUCCUACGGGAGGCAGCAGUGGGGAAUUUUGGACAAUGGGGGCAACCCUGAUCCAGCAAUGCCGCGUGAGUGAAGAAGGCCUUCGGGUUGUAAAGCUCUUUUGUCAGGGAAGAAACGGUGCGGGCUAAUAUCCUGUGCUAAUGACGGUACCUGAAGAAUAAGCACCGGCUAACUACGUGCCAGCAGCCGCGGUAAUACGUAGGGUGCGAGCGUUAAUCGGAAUUACUGGGCGUAAAGCGUGCGCAGGCGGUUUGGUAAGACAGAUGUGAAAUCCCCGGGCUUAACCUGGGAAUUGCAUUUGUGACUGCCCGGCUAGAGUGUGUCAGAGGGGGGUAGAAUUCCACGUGUAGCAGUGAAAUGCGUAGAUAUGUGGAGGAAUACCGAUGGCGAAGGCGGCCUUCUGGGAUGUUCCUGACGCUCAUACACGAAAGCUAGGGUAGCGAACGGGAUUAGAGACCCCGGUAGUCCUAGCAGUAAACGAUGUAGACUUGGUGUCGGAGGUGUCAAAACCUUCGGUAUCGUAGCUAACGCGAUAAGUCUACCGCCUGGGGACUACGGCCGCAAGGUUAAAACUCCAAGGAAUUGAUGG
rnacentral:rRNA from 1 species